rnacentral:rRNA from 1 species
UGGUCUAUUCACCGGAGAACGCGCUGUGGUUCAUUCGAGCACGCGAAGAACCUUACCAGGUCUUGACAUCCUCUGACAAUCCUAGAGAUAGGACGUCCCCUUCGGGGGCAGAGUGACAGGUGGUGCAUGGUUGUCGUCAGCUCGUGUCGUGAGAUGUUGGGUUAAGUCCCGCAACGAGCGCAACCCUUGAUCUUAGUUGCCAGCAUUCAGUUGGGCACUCUAAGGUGACUGCCGGUGACAAACCGGAGGAAGGUGGGGAUGACGUCAAAUCAUCAUGCCCCUUAUGACCUGGGCUACACACGUGCUACAAUGGACAGAACAAAGGGCAGCGAAACCGCGAGGUUAAGCCAAUCCCACAAAUCUGUUCUCAGUUCGGAUCGCAGUCUGCAACUCGACUGCGUGAAGCUGGAAUCGCUAGUAAUCGCGGAUCAGCAUGCCGCGGUGAAUACGUUCCCGGGCCUUGUCCCCC